GGUUUAUAUUUCUAGAAGAAAAAGGAGCGUGAUCCUAUUUUCCUUUUUUUUUUCCAUUCACAAACAGUUUUCCUUUUUUUAUUCCGAUCAGAGUCACACACGGUUAUAUAAACUGAGACUCUGUGAGAGAGAGACCCAUCAUUGAUCGUUUGUAAACUUGAGUGUGUUCGAUUCUUAUAACCCAAAAAAAUAAAAAAAAGCGGACAAUAUGAAAGCGAAAGUGAAAGCUAUGUUCUCGAAGCGACGAACAUGUGUCGACUCUGUUCUCAAAAGGUGGCUGGCUGCUCUGUUGUGUUCCUCCGAGAAUGGUGUUGCGAUCGUAGGAGACGCUCCAAACCUUUUGGGCCCGAAGAAAGAAUUUCUAGCCCAUCAGAAAGGUGACAAGCCCAUGAAGAUAGUUGUCUGAUUUCCCUUCUCUCGCUAAUCGUAUCAUCAUCAUUGCUCAGUUCUUAUCACCGAUACUCAUGAGCUCCUCCUCGUCUUUAAGGAACAACAACAACAACAACAUUACAGGUGGUCGAGAAGCUUCGAUCUCUUGACGAGUUCUACCGUCCAGUCCAUUUGAACAACUCAAUGCAGCUUGCCAAUCACAUCCAUCACUCUCUCGAUGCGUCUCUCUGCUCUUGAAUCGGAGUCGUCGGAUCUCCUUGAACUUCUCGCCGAAAAAGACAGUCGUACGUUGAGUCCCUCAACGCUUCUCUCUUCGAUGUGAUUCAUGAGCUUUCUCUCGCCUAUGGUGAAAAGGUCCAUCUCAAAGAAUCGAUUGGCCAUAUUCAAUUUAUCUCACAAAAGGAUGCAUCUCAACAUCAGGUAACUAUCUCUUAUAUGGAUUACCACUCUGGUUUUGGUAUUAAUAUCUUGUCAACUCCUCAAGAAGAGAAAGUAGAAGUUUUAGAUGUCUCUGAAAUGGUUAAAGAGUGGUAAGCAGUCAACAAAGUUCACGACCAAUCACUUUGCACACCAAGCGUUCGACAUAAUGCUUCCUAGAGGCCACCUAAUUUUUUUUUUAUGAAAGUCAUCCUAAAUUUUAAAGGAUCCUUCCUAAAUAUCAUUCAAUCCUUCAUGAAUUUACAGGAGUCCCAAAACAUUUUUUUUGAAUGUCAUCAUGAGAUCUCAAGGUACCUUUCCUGAAUUUAAAAGAACCUUUUUGAGUCUAAAGAAACUAUCAUUUGCUUCCUUUAACAUCUAGCUCAAAUUAUUCUACAAAAUACACCAUCUAAUAUAUAUGUAACAUCAAAAUCCUAAUUUGAAAACAAAGAAUCAACCCCUAAACAUCUCAAUCUCCUUAAGUAUGACCUCCUUGUAGAUAUAAAAAACCAUUACCCUACAAAAAUGAAUGACACAAACUGUUAAAAAACGAUUCAGGGAGGCUGUCACAAAUUAGAUAGACUCCUUCUGUUUAUUCGCUUAACCGUACUCCACCACUUUAGCUAGCCGCUACGACCUCCGCUGUCACAAGAAAAACUCAACCUUACUCUGAACUCACGACGAGACUCUCCGUGACUGUGGUCCUCUCAAAUCGAAUCAACACACAAGGAAUAUAUUGUCAUCGUUGUCUCAACUUGUUCCGGCGUUGACUGGUCAUCUGUCUUGAUUUGGCCUUUCUAUAAUCAAAUGGAAGAGUUUGAUUAGAACCCUGAUCUUAUCUCAUCUCUUCCGCUCACGCGACUACCUCCGAAUUUGAAUAAUCACUACCAAGACCACUAAGAUGAAGAAGAUAAGGAUAAUUAUGAAGAAGAGGAAGAUGAAGAGGGACAAAGCAAAUUGAGUAAAUAAUGACAUAAUCUGGUACGGUUUAUAGAUUUGCUGGAGUUGGUGGAUCAAAGACUCUUGUCAUGAUCGUCUAAGAGGAAGAGGAACAACUACAGAGAUGGUGGUUAGAGGCGGAGGAAAGGAGCUAGAGACGUGGCAGCAGAGAUGGUGGUGAGAGGCGGAGGAAAGGAGCGAGAGAUGUAUAUAUAUAUAUAUAUAUAUAUAUAUAUGACCAAUGAUUUGAUUUUGUAUCUUUCUAAAUUUCUAUGAAGGUCAUCCUGAAGUUCAGGAAAACCUUCCUCAAUUUCAAAGAAUCACCUAUUCGAGCAGUAUCCAUAUUUAUACAUUUAUUUUUAUAUUGUACUUAAAUGAAAAGUUUGUCUUACUUGGUUA